rnacentral:rRNA from 1 species
ACAUGACUCUCGGCAACGGAUAUCUCGGCUCUCGCAUCGAUGAAGAACGUAGCGAAAUGCGAUACCUGGUGUGAAUUGCAGAAUCCCGCGAACCAUCGAGUCUUUGAACGCAAGUUGCGCCCGAGGCCAUUCGGCUGAGGGCACGCCUGCCUGGGCGUCACGC